rnacentral:rRNA from 1 species
UGCAGUCGAACGGACUUAACCUUUAGUUUACUAUUGGAGCGGUUAGUGGCGGACUGGUGAGUAACACGUAAGCAACCUGCCUAUCAGAGGGGAACAACAGUUAGAAAUGACUGCUAAUACCGCAUAUGCCUUAGAAUCACAUGGUUCAAAAGGGAAAGGAGCAAUCCGCUGAUAGAUGGGCUUGCGUCUGAUUAGAUAGUUGGUGGGGUAAUGGCCUACCAAGUCGACGAUCAGUAGCCGGACUGAGAGGUUGAACGGCCACAUUGGGACUGAGAUACGGCCCAGACUCCUACGGGAGGCAGCAGUCGGGAAUAUUGCGCAAUGGAGGAAACUCUGACGCAGUGACGCCGCGUGCAGGAAGAAGGUUUUCGGAUUGUAAACUGCUUUAGACAGGGAAGAAACAAGACAGUACCUGUAGAAUAAGCUCCGGCUAACUACGUGCCAGCAGCCGCGGUAAUACGUAGGGAGCAAGCGUUAUCCGGAUUUAUUGGGUGUAAAGGGUGCGUAGACGGGAAAACAAGUUAGUUGUGAAAUCCCUCGGCUUAACUGAGGAACUGCAACUAAAACUAUUUUUCUUGAGUGCUGGAGAGGAAAGUGGAAUUCCUAGUGUAGCGGUGAAAUGCGUAGAUAUUAGGAGGAACACCAGUGGCGAAGGCGACUUUCCGGACAGUAACUGACGUUGAGGCACGAAAGUGUGGGGAGCAAACAGGAUUAGAUACCCUGGUAGUCCACACCGUAAACGAUGGAUACUAGGUGUAGGGGAUGAAUAAUCUUCUGUGCCGUCGCAAACGCAGUAAGUAUCCCACCUGGGGAGUACGGCCGCAAGGUUGAAACUC